rnacentral:rRNA from 1 species
GAUGAACGCUGGCGGCGUGCCUAAUACAUGCAAGUCGAGCGAACAGACGAGGAGCUUGCUCCUCUGACGUUAGCGGCGGACGGGUGAGUAACACGUGGAUAACCUACCUAUAAGACUGGGAUAACUUCGGGAAACCGGAGCUAAUACCGGAUAAUAUAUUGAACCGCAUGGUUCAAUAGUGAAAGACGGUUUUGCUGUCACUUAUAGAUGGAUCCGCGCCGCAUUAGCUAGUUGGUAAGGUAACGGCUUACCAAGGCAACGAUGCGUAGCCGACAUGAGAGGGGGAUCGGCCAAACUGGAACUGAGACACGGUCCAGACUACUACGGGAGGCAGCAGUAGGGAAUCUUCCGCAAUGGGCGAAAGCUUGACGGAGCAACGCCGCGUGAGUGAUGAAGGUCUUCGGAUCGUAAAACUCUGUUAUGAGGGAAGAACAAAUGUGUAAGUAACUAUGCACGUCUUGACGGUACCUAAUCAGAAAGCCACGGCUAACUACGUG